GAUCAAUUCAUAUCCACUCCUCCAAAGUAAUUAAAAGCAUUGGAAAAAAUCUCAUAGUGAAGAAAAAUAUAGGAAACUGAUAACAGAAAGCGUUUGUGGAAGAUACUCAGAUUUUCUUACAAAGCACAAUGAAAGUAUUCCUUAACAUUUGCUUGAUUAUCGUGAUGAUAUCAAUGGGAAUAUCACAACCUUUACUGAUUACGCUGUCAGGUCAUGUUAUAAAUAAACGUUUCGCGGCGAUUCCUAGACCGAUUCCUACUGUCAUAGGUUUACUUAUGAAACAAACCGCUAUGUGUCCCACAAAUUUGCGGAAAGAUCCACGUGGAAUAUGUCGGGAGCAGGUGUAAUAAUAUUACAUGCACGUUGGUGUAAAAUACAGAUUCUAAUAAUAUUUUCAUACAACAACUGCGAAGUAAUAGACUGAAAAUAAUGGAAUAAGUCAAGAAAUGUAAAAUAGUAUACGACAUCUUAUAAAUAUGAAUAAAUAAAAAUUUUUAUAAUUAUUCGUUGAACAUGUCUGAUAUCAAAACAAAGCCCUAUUAAUUGUAAUAUUGUAACGAGUAAUCUUCGAAUGGUUUUAGUCGGCGCUCAUUGUUUGUUAAAAAGUUAUUGAAAAAAAAUUCUAUAAACGGAACGUAAUUUUGGUACAUAGUAUACAUUGAAAUAUGGUAAGCAGUACACGUAUAUGGCGGGGGAGUAGCCCCACUCCUCCCCCAGCAUCCCUUCUCCAAAAAACUCCCUCUAACCUUAAUGUAACUCAUCUAUUGAAAUAUGAUAAAACGUACACGUAUAUGCGUAACUUAUUCUUUAUAUUUUUAAUCAUAACUUGUCAAUGAAAAACAAUAUAAGAAUUCAAAUGCAGAUACAGUUUGCGAUAUUUCAAUGUACACUAUAUGCAAAAAAUAUUGCAAGCAGUUUUAUUGUUUUUCAUUGUUGUAUUACAUAAUUUUCACAAACUAUGUAUAAAAAUGUAAAGAAUAUGUUAUGCAUAUACGUGUACGUUUUACCAUAUUUUAAUGGAUGGAUUAGGUUAGGUUGUGUUAGGAUUAGUUUUUUCGGGAAGCAGUACUGGGAAAAGGGCAAAGCCCCUCUCCCGCACAUAUACUUGUAAUUUACCAUAUUUCGUUUACUGUUUACCUACUAUACUUUAUGUACGCUGUGUUGGUACUAAUAUAAAUUUUUUUGUUAAUAACUUGUUAUUAAACUAUGAGUGCCAGCUAAAACUUUUUGAACGUUACUUAGGGCAGUGACUUUGACUUUAUCAAGGUCAAUGUUAUUGAAGCUGCUUCCUUUAUGUCCGAUAAUUACUCUUAAUUUAUAAUUACAAUACACCUGAAACGUACAAAUCACAUCUGAUUGACACAAAAUAAAUUUUAUGCUUUAUAUGUGGACAUAGAACAUAUAUUCACACAAGAAGAUUUAAGAUUGCUUAUCGGAAGGGGAAGUUACUUUAUAAACAUUCCUUUUAUAUAACCGGUAAAUUCUCCACAAUGUCAACGAAAAGAUCCGCAUGGAAUAUGCGUUGCGGAAAGCUACAACAAAGUCUUAUGUAAAGGAUAUUACACUCAGUACAAACUGGUUUAUGCAACAUAAUGAUAAAUGAUAAUGAUAAUAAGCUUUACGUAAUAAAGAAGAAUAUUAACGAGAUUAUGGGAGAUUAUAAAUACAAAACACAGGGGAGAGAACAGUCAAUUCACAUCCACUCCUUCAAAUUAAAAGCAUCAGAAGAUUCAAGAGGAAACUGCGGUUGUAAAAGAUAUUCAGAUUUUCUCACAAAGCACAAUGAAGAUACUCUUUAAUAUUUGCUUGAUUAUGAUGCUGACAACUAUAGCAAUACCAAUGGGAAUAUCACAACCUACGUCUACGAUUAUGUCUGUUACAAAUAAGCCUUAUAUGUCAACUCAUCCAACCGUGGCUUAUACUCUCAUAGGUGUUCUUCAAAGAACCACUACUUGUCCCACAAACUUUCGGAAAGAUACAAAUGGAAUAUGUCGUGAGCAGGAGUAACAAUAUUACAUGCAUGUUGGUGUAAAAUACAGGUUUCAAUAAUAUUUCUAUACAACAACUGCGAAGUAAUAAACUCGAAGUAAUGGAAUAAGACAAGAAAUGUAUAAUAAUAUGUGGUAUUUUAAUUUCAUAUUAAUUUCAUAUUAAUCUUAAUUAUAUAUUAAUAUGAAUAAAUUUCACAUUAAUAUAAAAUUAAAUUAAAUUAUUUAAUUAAAAUAUUAUCUUAAUUUCAUAUUAAUAUGAAUAAAUAAAAAUUUUAUUCAUUAAACAUGUCUGAUAAACAUGACAAUAAAACUCCAUUAAUUGUAAUGUUAAAGUGGCCAAGUAUCAAUGCAAUUACUAACUGUAUUUACCGUAGAUAGAAUAUUGUUAUUGUUACUCGUUACACAAUGAUUAAAAUAAGAAGUUAAAUCAUUACCGUUUUUUAUCGCCCGAAUUCUUCUUCUGCAUUACAUAAAUUUUAUUAUCGUUAUGCAAAAAAACCAGUUAAUUUGUUAAUGAGGAUAAUAUGUAAUAUUAAUUUAGAUAAUAUGUGGCAAUCUCACAGAUGUAUGAAUAAAUAUAAAUAAACAUGAUUAAUGUCAAUUUUUGUGUUAUUUUGGGUGAAUCCUCUGUAUUAUUUCAGAUAACUAAACCGAAAUUUUUGCACAAUAAAAACAUUCUUAAUAGUUGAUUAUGUUGAUAACAAUCAGUAUGCGCAAUAUCAAUGGGAAUUUUCCCAAGCGCUUACUGUCAGAUGUAUCAUCAUAUAAAUUCAUUAAUGAAUAAACCGGUUUUUUUGCAUAACUAAUAAAAUUCAUGUAACUUUUUUCGUUAAUAACUUGUUAUUAAACUAUGAGUGCAAGCUAAAACCUUUUGAAUGUUACUUAAGGCAGUGACUUUGACUGUAUCAAGGUCAAGGUUAUUGAAACUGCUUCCUCUAUGCCCGAUAAUUACUCUUAUUUUAUAAUUACAAUACACUUGGAACGUACAAAUCACACCUGAUUGACACAAAAUUUUAUGCAUUAUAUGUGGACAUAGAACAUAUAUUCACACAAGAAGAUUUAAGAGUGUUUAUCGAAAGCGGAAAUUACUUUAUAAACAUUCUUUUUAUAUAACCGGUAAAUUCUCCACAAUGUCAACGGAAAGAUCCGCAUGGAAUAUGCGUUGCGGAAAACUACAACAAAGUCUUAUGUAAAGGAUAUUACACUGAACACAAACUGGUUUGUGCGUAAUGAUAAAUGGUAAUGAUAAUAAACUUUACGUAUUAGACGAAUAUUAAUGAGAUUAUGGAAGAUUAUAAAUACGAAACGCAGGAGAGAGAACAGUCAAUUCACAUCCACUCCUCCAAAUUAAAAGCAUCGGAUGAUUCAAGAGGAAACUGCGAUUGUGGAAGGUAUUCAGAUUUUCUCACAGAGCACAAUGAAGAUACUCUUUAAUAUUUGCUUGAUUAUGGUACUGACAAUUAUAGCGAUACCAAUGGGAAUAUCACAACCUACGCCUACGUUUGCGCCUAAGUUUGCGCCGCACCCACGAAAACCUGUUACAAAUAAGCCUUUUGUGCCAACUUAUCCCGCCGCGGCUCCUACUAUCGUAGGUGUUCGCGAAAGAGCCACUACUUGUCCCCCAAAUUAUCAGAAAGAUCCACAUGGAAUAUGUCGGGAGCAGGUGUAAUAAUAUUACAUGCACGUUGGUGUAAAAUACAGGUUUGGACACCGCGGAUCCCACCGCUGCCACCAGUUUUUAUUGUGCCCUUAGUAGCGCCGAGCACAACUGGGUAGUUGGGCUCCGAAGUUAACCAUGCAGACAGAGCGGAAUAGUCGCGGAGUAAAUAAUAGUUGUCAAAUUUAAUAAAGUUUCGGUUUGAUUUA